rnacentral:rRNA from 1 species
UACGGAGGGGGGCGAGCGUUAUUCGGAAUUAUUGGGCGUAAAGGGCGCGUAGGCGGCCUGAUAAGUCAAAGGUGAAAUCCCUCGGCUCAACUGAGGAAUUGCCUUUGAAACUGUCAGGCUUGAGGCCGGGAGGGGGUGGCGGAAUUCCCAGUGUAGCGGUGAAAUGCGUAGAUAUUGGGAGGAACACCAGUGGCGAAGGCGGCCACCUGGACCGGUUCUGACGCUGAUGCGCGAAAGCGUGGGGAGCAAACAGG